GACGAACGCUGGCGGCGUGCUUAACACAUGCCAGUCGAACGGAAAGGCCCUGCUUUUGUGGGGUGCUCGAGUGGCGAACGGGUGAGUAACACGUGAGUAACCUGCCCUUGACUUUGGGAUAACUUCAGGAAACUGGGGCUAAUACCGGAUAGGAGCUCCUGCUGCAUGGUGGGGGUUGGAAAGUUUCGGCGGUUGGGGAUGGACUCGCGGCUAUUCAGCUUGUUGGUGGGGUAGUGGCUUACCAAGGCUUUGACGGGUAGCCGGCCUGAGAGGGUGACCGGCCAAAUUGGGACUGAGAUACGGCCCAGACUCCUACGGGAGGCAGCAGUGGGGAAUAUUGCACAAUGGGCGGAAGCCUGAUGCAGCAACGCCGCGUGCGGGAUGACGGCCUUCGGGUUGUAAACCGCUUUCGCCUGUGACGAAGCGUGAGUGACGGUAAUGGGUAAAGAAGCACCGGCUAACUACGUG
rnacentral:rRNA from 1 species